GAACGCACAUUGCGCCCCUUGGUAUUCCAUGGGGCAUGCCUGUUCGAGCGUCAUCUACACCCUCAAGCUCUGCUUGGUGUUGGGCGUCUGUCCCGCCUCUGCGCGUGGACUCGCCCCAAAUUCAUUGGCAGCGGUCUUUGCCUCCUCUCGCGCAGCACAUUGCGCUUCUCGAGGUGCGCGGCCCGCGUCCACGAAGCAACAUUACCGUCUUUGACCUCGGAUCAGGUAGGGAUACCCGCUGAACUUAAG
rnacentral:misc_RNA from 1 species